AAUGCACAAAUCAUUAAUAUUUAGUACUUCAAUGCGCAAUCGUGAAGAUCACGGGGCAGGUUAUGAAACUGACACAACAACUGAAGCUGCAAUUGCCAUAGAAGACAGAGCUCAACGUUUAGUUCCGCACUGAUUUUGUUCAAACAUGUACUCAGUUCUAUGCUUAGUCAGUUGUUUUAUAUCACUAAAUGGAAUGUCCCAAGGAAAUAAUUUAGAGAUUCCAGAUAUUAAUAUGAAACUUCGUACAGAAGCUCGUGCUGCUCGGCAAGCUGCAAGCGUGGCCAUCCAUUAUUUAAACUACCAUCAUGGAUCGCCACACAAUGUUUUUCAGCUACAUCAGCUGAAGAAAGCAUCUCUUGAGAUUAUGGUUAACGAAGGGCGCAAGUACCAUCUUAAAUUUGAAGUGAGAAAUGGAAGGUUCUCAAAUGUUACUAAAUUCUGCACAGCGAAAGUAUUAUUUUAUAAGAAAUCAGUUCCAGACACUGUUCUAAAGUGUAAUUUUAAAGACUCAGACGGUUUCAAGGAAGAUUAUGAAUUUUAUCUCAAUUUGAGAAAACGGAUGGACCCUGUGGUUGGCUACAAUAUUCCUGAUAAUUUUGGAUUUAUAGCCCCUGAAACAAGACCAAUCUGGCAACUGGCAAUAGUUAGUGCCAGCUACAUCAUGUGGCAAAAGUCUACUGAGGUUAUGAAGUACAACAUGGCUCAAAUACAGGAAGUUCACCAACAGAUCAGGACAGACGAAUUUCUUCAAUUUACCUACAUAGUUCUUCUCCACGAAAUACCAAGCCAGGAAAUAAUAACUUGCAAUAUGUGGGUGAUGUGGCAGCCUAAACAAUCACCAAACGUGAAAUACACUUGCUUACCCUCUCCAACUGAAAGUUUUUCUGAAGAAUCUGAAUUUGGAAGGCCGGAGGGAAUGGAGUAGCAAAGAACCGAGGGCUCGGCAUUGCAAAUCAACUGAGAAUCAACUACAGAAAUUUUCUCUACGAACUUAUUACUAACCAUUUUGAUAUUAUUUUACUUAAAGGGUAUCGUAUUGGCAGCACAACAAAAAUAACGAAUGAUAUUAUGACAGUAUUACCUGGAUUAGUUUGCCCAGGACUUGAUUUAACAAUGCUACUUCAAAUUUAGUCACAAAACCUUUAAAUUGCAAUUUUCACGCCUGCUUUAAAAUACAUUUAAGGGGCUGUCCCACUUGGGCGACCUAACCCGCGAGUUCUGGCGAGUUUACCCUCGACUCAUACUCGCAGCAUGGUCGACACGAGGUCGUAGCACUUCGUAAGUCUCCUUCAUGCUCGAGAGUGGUCUCAGGCGUACUCGAGGCUUCAGCUAGGUUGUAGCAUAUUUUGCAACGUUGAAAAAUGUCCGCGAGUAAAAAAAGGUCGCCAUGGAAAAAAUCGAUACUUUUUUUACUCGUAGGUUUAGUCGUAGUAGGUCAGCAUGUUAGUCGUAGGUAAUCGAGGGUAGUCAAAGGUAGUCGUAGAUAGUCUUCAUCAUAGUCGAAGGGAGGUAGUCUUCACUCUCCACUAUUCAAUGUCCAAUUUUCCCGAAGUUAGUGUAGCCGCAGAUUUUCAUCUUUCGGGAAAUUAACUACCUAGUAGCUAAAUGAGCAGGAAUAAGGGGAAUAUCUUCGAUACGCAUGCGAUCUGGCUCAAAGAGACCUUCAGCGCUUCUUCCCAGAUAAGUCUUCAAAAACACAGUCCUUUGAUUAAUAAAUUCAGAUUAAUCUAUGUCUAU